GAUAGCGGAAGGCAACCUAAGUUCGCCACGUCCUGCGGCAAUGGUUGCAUACCCGCAUCCUGCGGG
rnacentral:sRNA from 1 species